AUUUUGUAUGGACAUAAUAACUUGAGAUAAUUUAUCAGCUGGGGUUAAAGUCAAUGUUCCCUCUAAUUUUUCAUGUGUCUGAGUGAACACACAAACUCCCUGAGCGAUCAGCAGACGUGUGCACUGUGGUCACGCCAGCAUCAAAUCCAUCCAAGUUACAUGGUUUAUUACAAUAAUCAAAUUACAGCAUUUACAUUUAUGUUAGACUCCUUUUAAUUAACUGCUUUAGCCCACAACUACAAUGAAAAAGGAAAAAAAAUCUUGUUCAUGACCUGUGUAGUAUGUUAACACUAUUGGAAGUAAAAAUAACUUGAACCCCAAUUUUUCAUUAUAUACUGUAUUUUCAACCAAUGUUGGGCAAUUAAUUAUAUAGUUACUUCUUCAAAAACGUUACUGAGUUUUGCAAACAGUUUUUUGCAGCUGUUUACCUGAAAAUGCUGCCAUGGCGUUUUGUGCCACUCCAAAAAAUUAUUUCUGUCCACUAUGACAUAAAGGAGAACAACAACCUGAUACCUGCAGGCCUGACAACAGAUGUAUCACUCCUGUAACAUUCAGCAGUCGCCUCAUUGUUCUGACACACACAACAAAACUACUGACUACACACAGUAGCGGUUUUUGAUACGGUGACAUGGGCGGUUGCCCAGGGAGGCAUUGUGGUGGGGAGCGGCAUCACGGGCAUCGGCAAAAAAAACAAAAAAAAAAGAAAAAAAAAUUGCUCGUACUGAUGCUGCCCCGACAUCAGCCAGCGCAUAUUGGGAAUGGCACAGGCACCAAUCGGUUUACCGCCGCCCAUUUGCUGGGCGUAAGGGCGCCCUCCGUUUGGAAGGUGCGCCUGCUGCUUGCGGCACAGGGAGGAGAGGGCGGGGGAUUCUCUGGCUGGCUGGAGCAGCGUCUAAUAACCAACCAAAAUAAAACAAAAUAAAAACAAACUAACAAACACAAAAACACCAGACAUUAUGAUACAGACUUAUAAUUUGCACCGAUGUUUUUUCAAAAUUCUAUACGCGAAAAGUGAGCGCGAGAGCCCUCGGUGCGCCUGCUUGCUGCUGAAGUCAAAGUAAACUUUAUUGUCAUCUCUGCUACAUACAGUCCAGUAUAUAGAGAGACGAGACAACGAGGCUCCAGUUACAGCAGUGCAAGUAAACAAACAACAAAUAUAAGAAGAGUAAGAAAAUAAAUAUACACUUUAGGACUCGGGGUAAAGGGAUCAAUAACAAUUUAAAAUUUAUAAUUUACAGUUUGAUGAUUUAAAGUCUCACACACAACGCGUCGAAAGGGGAGGGGGGCCGGCUGCUUCCAAGCACAUUUCAUUCAUAAUG
ensembl:lncRNA